rnacentral:tRNA from 1 species
CCGAAUGUAUAACGCAGUGGCUAGCGCGCUUCGUUCGGGACGAAGAGGCCGGUGGUUCGAGUCCACUCACCCCGACCA